rnacentral:tRNA from 1 species
GCCUUCGUAGUGUAGUGGUCAGCACGCUCGACGCGCAACCGAGAGGUCCGUGGUUCGAUUCCCGGCGAAGGCG